rnacentral:rRNA from 1 species
GUUACCUACGGGACGCAGCAGUGAGGAAUAUUGGUCAAUGGUCGGGAGACUGAACCAGCCAAGCCGCGUGAGGGAGGAAGGUACAGAGUAUCGUAAACCUCUUUUGUCAGGGAACAAAGGCGGGGACGUGUCCCCGGAUGAGUGUACCUGAAGAAAAAGCAUCGGCUGACUCCGUGCCAGCAGCCGCGGUAAUACGGAGGAUGCGAGCGUUAUCCGGAUUUAUUGGGCGUAAAGCGCGCGCAGGCGGGCCGCUAAGCGGGA